UACGAAGGGGGCUAGCGUUGCUCGGAAUCACUGGGCGUAAAGCGCACGUAGGCGGCUUGUUAAGUCAGGGGUGAAAUCCUGGAGCUCAACUCCAGAACUGCCUUUGAUACUGAGAAGCUUGAGUCCGGGAGAGGUGAGUGGAACUGCGAGUGUAGAGGUGAAAUUCGUAGAUAUUCGCAAGAACACCAGUGGCGAAGGCGGCUCACUGGCCCGGUACUGACGCUGAGGUGCGAAAGCGUGGGGAGCAAACAGG
rnacentral:rRNA from 1 species